rnacentral:rRNA from 1 species
CCUACGGGGGGCAGCAGUGGGGGAUAUUGGACAAUGGGGGGAACCCUGAUCCAGCGACGCCGCGUGAGUGAAGAAGUAUCUCGGUAUGUAAAGCUCUAUCAGCAGGGAAGAAGAAAUGACGGUACCUGAGUAAGAAGCCCCGGCUAACUACGUGCCAGCAGCCGCGGUAAUACGUAGGGGGCAAGCGUUAUCCGGAAUUACUGGGUGUAAAGGGAGCGUAGACGGUGAUGUAAGUCUGGAGUGAAAGGCGGGGGCCCAACCCCCGGACUGCUCUGGAAACUAUGUGACUGGAGUGCAGGAGAGGUGAGCAGAAUUCCUAGUGUAGCGGUGAAAUGCGUAGAUAUUAGGAGGAACACCGGUGGCGAAGGCGGCCUGCUGGACUGUGACUGACGUUGAGGCCCGAAGGCGUGGGGAGCAAACAGGAUUAGAUACCCUAGUAGUC